rnacentral:rRNA from 1 species
CCUACGGGUGGCAGCAGUAGGGAAUCUUUCACAAUGGGCGAAAGCCUGAUGGAGCAACGCCGCGUGCAGGAUGAAGGCCUUCGGGUUGUAAACUGCUUUUAUAAGCGAGAAAUAUGAUGGUAACUUAUGAAUAAGGAUCGGCUAACUACGUGCCAGCAGCCGCGGUCAUACGUAGGAUCCGAGCAUUGUCCGGAGUGACUGGGUGUAAAGAGUUGCGUAGGUGGCAUAAUAAGUAGCUAGUGAAAUCUGGUGGCUCAACCAUUCAGACUAUUAGCUAAACUGUUAAGCUCGAGACCGUUAGGGGUAACUGGAAGUUCUAGUGUAGGAGUGAAAUCCGUAGAUAUUAGAAGGAACACCAAUAGCGUAGGCAGGUUGCUGGGACGGUUCUGACACUAAGGCACGAAAGCGUAGGGAGCAAACGGGAUUAGAUACCCCUGUAGUC